rnacentral:rRNA from 1 species
AAUGAACGUUGGCGGCGUGGAUUAGGCAUGCAAGUCGAGCGAGAACCGUAGCAAUACGGGGACAGCGGCGAAAGGGAGAGGAAUACGCGGGUACCUACCCUCGGAUCUGGGAUAGCCACGGGAAACUGUGGGUAAUACCAGAUAACGUCUUCGGACCAAAGGUGUGAUUCCGUCCGAGGAGGGGCCCACGUCCUAUUAGCUAGUUGGUGGGGUAAUGGCCUACCAAGGCAAUGAUGGGUACGGGGCGUGGGAGCGUGCCCCCGCUCACUGGGACUGAGACACUGCCCAGACACCUACGGGUGGCUGCAGUCGAGGAUCUUCGGCAAUGGGCGCAAGCCUGACCGAGCGACGCCGCGUGCGGGAUGAAGGCCUUCGGGUUGUAAACCGCCGUCGGAAGGGAGGAAAUGCCUAGGGGUUCUCCCCUAGGUUUGACCUAUCUUCAGAGGAAGUACGGGCUAAGUUCGUGCCAGCCGCCGCAGUAA